GGACGCGCUGCCCGUCCCCCGGCAGCCCGGGAAGGGGCAGGGCAGGCGGGCAGGGCAGCGGCAACUUGCCGGUAGGGGGGACAGGAAGGCUCGGGCUGCCGCGGGAGGUGUGCGGGGUGUGUUCGCUUCGCGUCCCCGAGGUUCCCCCAAAUCCUGUCCGUAGUUUAAAAAUCGCUCUCUUGGCAUAAGUGCGCGGAAGCCAGACUCACUUUAUCGCCGCUGACGCUGUCGAAAUCGCUGUGGCUCCAGCAGUAACAACAGCGAGCCCCCUCCCUGCAUCCCUCCCUCCUUCCCUCCCUCCGCCGGGUCACCCGCUCCUCGUGAGAAACCAAAUGCUGAUGUUCCAUUAGCUUCAUCUUCCCCGCUUACGCGAAAGUGAGGAAGACUUGCUAAUUAAUUUACAUACGAGGGAAUGAUGUCUGAAGGAAGGAGAAAACACCCCGUUGCACCUGCUCCGCCGAGACUUGUCAUCUGAAUCCGGAGGAGAGCUAUAAAUCAUGUGAAGUGUUCGCGGUGGAAUCGGCUUCUUCUGAGAUCUGUAGGAUUAUGUAUCCAAAUGCUGAAUUUAUAUUUCCCACUAGGAAAAGACCGAAACCCAGAUGGAGCAACCGAGCAUAUACUAUGAGUUGUUACACAGGAAGCUUUGGCAGAAGAUGUCAGCUUUCAACAAACCAACAUGUAGAAGGGAAGUGUGAUCCCAAGCUGUUCCCAGAGGCACUGCUGUCUGACAGCUAUACAAAAACAGCUCUUGAAUAACUAAAAUGGAGUUUGAUGCCAGAAGGUUCUUACUCAGGGCAGAACUAGCUUUACAGACAAUACUGUGUCAUCCUUGCAUCAUCAUAGAUAGAAUUGGAUUUUUGUACGGGAGUAACAUUUGCGCAAAAGUCUUCAACUGAAAGAAAAAAAGAUAUUGGGACUAAAGCCUGAAAGCUGUCCUUUCCCCUUAACUGCAAGAUCUUUUGCACUCUAUCACCAUGAAAAUUUUAAUUUGUCUAGUAAAAUUAUUCUCAUAAAGGAGAAAAAAAACAAUCUUGCAGGAAAAAAGUAAGAAGCCUUAGUUAAUGUGUAUUAACUUCUGGAAAGAGUUGUUGCCUUUGCAAGUAAAAUCAUGCUGAGUUUUAUGUUGUUAGGAAAGAAUUAAUUCUUCAUCCUUAUUGCAACCAACAGGGAUUCCCAGCUCCUGCUUGUGAAUUAACUGUAAUAUUGACCCUUCAGUGCAAGUCAUGAUGCAGACAGGUGUCAAGAACCAUCUGGCUUGGCCUGACCAUAAAGUCCUCAUUUGUGAAAGUGCUAAUUUCUUUAUCAUUAGAACCUUUGGCUUCAACAGACCUAGACACCUGGGAAUAUUUUGCAUUAGAAAUUUGUAUUAAUCCACAAUCUACCCAGAGAGGAUGUGUGUAUAUAUUUAUAUAUAUGUAAUGAAAAUAUGUGUCCGUUUCAAAAUAAUAUGGAAGUAAUAUAAAUUUAUUUAAAAUACCCUACUGGAGAAUUGGAGAAUUCAAUGAAUUUGUUGCUUGAUUAGUUGUGAAAUUCUCUGUAAUUUACUAAUUUAAGAGUACUUGCCAUCAGUUACGCAGAAUUUCUCUUUUUGUAUAAUUGGAAUCCAAGGUGCGUGUUGUAUGUCAUGGAGAUAUAUGUGCAUAGUCACUAUCUGCAUGAAAUCAGGAGUGCCAUAUUGUGGAUUAAAACUGGGAAGAAUUAAUCUUGCAGACCAGUGACAGUAAGGACUUUUGCUACUCUUGAAUAGUAGCUUCAAUUUUUAACAAUAUUUUUGUAGAUUGCCUAAGGAAGAGAUGAGUUUUUCAUCACUGGAAAUUUUAUAAGAUCAGGUUAUGCAAACAUCUGUCAAGAAUGGUUUCAGUAUACUGAUCAAGCCUUGGGGCUGACUGGCAAACUAAGUGACCUCUUGAGAUCCCUUCCACCUCAGUGUUCUGUGACUCUGUGGCAUUGUGCUAUGACACAUUGUAGAUAUGUAUAUAGAAGUUACCCACUUGGAAAAGUUUAUUUCUACUAUUUAAUCCCACUCAUAUUUCUUAAGGUUCAGGGAUUUAUGCAGACAAGUAGAAAAUAAAGUCCCUAAUUAAUUAUGGAAAUUUUUGCAAUUUUAUCAGAUUAUUAAUUUUGAGAUCUACCUUGAGACUGAAUGGAAGGAAAACAAAAACAAAGCAGCACAGAUGAAAACUUGGAAUUUGCUAAAGCAACCUUUCUUAUUUAAAUGAUGAUAUGUUUAGCAUAUUGUUAGCCUUUGCUUACAGGUGAUAAAAAUCACAUGCUAAUUCAGACUGUUCUGUGCAGUUCAAAAUGUGCAUUAGUAGCCCCUCACUGUCUGUUGUCAACAGGACUGAAAUUGUCCUGGUGAUGCAAUGAGGGUAGAUUUACCUUCAGGACUCUUCAAAACUAUAGAUGCCAGUGUGUAGGAAUCUUUAAAAUCAGUAGGAAUCUUUAAAAUAACCUUAAAAUACAUAGUCCCCCUAUGCUUGGCGAUACCAGUGGAUGACAAUAACAAUGUUCGUGCCUCUGCAGCUACACCUGCAAUUUGUUAUCAACUUCCUAAUCUCAAAAACUGAAAUCCCAAGGGAGGUAUUAAUUAAACUGGAGUUGAAGGAGUAUACUGGAUAGAAAAGGGUAAGGAGGAGAGUACACAAGUGUUACUCUUGAAGUGGUCUGGUCAAAUGGCACAUUAGAUUUGCAUCAGACUAAUCAAGUACUUGACUGUUCUCCCAGAGCCCAGACUAGCUGGCCCUACAGCAGCCCUUUAAACACAGCUUAAUGACAUAGCACUUCUUUUAAAUAUUUAAGUGUGUCAGUUUUGGUGUUCUGCAGAAGGAACUUCAGUUAGGAAACUUUGGAAUGUAAAUGGCUUUGCAGUAGUGAUCUUCAGUCCAUGUUGUAGGUACAGUUAACAUAGCUUAGAUGUUAUAAGAAACACAAUAUGGCUUUUUUGUUAUAAACCAAGCUAAACUUGCUAGAGUUAACUGAAAUUAAAUCUCUUAUGGAAGUGAAGCAGUAGUUUCACUAUUAAAACAGAUUUGAGGUUUCUUGAAUCUUGAACAUUGACUAAUGGUUAUCUUUCAAACUUAAAAACAAUUUGUAUUUGUGCAUAUGCAUCUCAGUGUUUGUUCUUUGUUGUUCAAUUGAAGUAAUUUGUUUUAAUUUAUUUAAUUGGUUUUAUUUUGGGUUCAAUAUUAGAGUUCUUAUUUUUUAAAGUCAACAUUAUUUGAUACUGUUAUUUAAUAUUUCUGUCAUUAAAAUACAUGUCUACUAUUAAACGUCAGCUCUUGAGAAUGUUUUUUAAAUAUUACAAUAUUAUAAAAGACUGAAAGUUUUUGGGUUUUGAAACUGACCCGUUUUUAGACAUUUUUGCAACAUUUGCAGAUUCAGAAUACAAACAGCUACACCAUUUAGAGAACACUCAUUAAAAAUGAAAUAGCAAUUUAGUACAGGAAUAAUUAAGAGGUCAGUGAAAGUCUCUGCAGCCUGGGACUAAAGCAUUGUCUUUAUUUGCCAUAGUACUUAAAAUUUUUCAUCAGUAGGAUUAAAAACUGGUAACAUGAAGGCAACAUAAGCUGUUGUUUACCUCAGAUGGACAUGCAUGGGUAAUUUUGUUAUUCUGAGUAGACAUAUUAAAAUAGUAAGUGCUGAACAUGUAAGCAUAUGUGCAAAUAUCCACUUUCAAAUAAAACAGUGGCAUAAAAUA